UCUCUCUGCCAACACCAUGAACAAUAAUAGUCAGUAGGGGGUGAAUUUUCUACUUGGAAACCAUCUCAAUUUCUCUAUGUUUUAUGACACACAAACAUAGUAUGUCAUGUAAAGCUUUUACAUAACAUCGUGGAGAGUAACAAAUAACCUUUGCACGCUAUAUCUUACUAGAGAGAUAUUUGUUCAUCCAUGGUCGUUGCUGUCUACAUUUGUCAGGUUCACUCAUAAUAGAAAGAAAUUGGAAGCAGCCUAUGUGUUCAUCAACAGAGCAAUGGGUAAUUCACACGUGGACUAUUACUCAGCUAUUAAGAAAAUGGGAAUUUCAGCAGUGCUUCAUUGGUAAGUACCAUCAGCAUUUCGAGUAGAGAAAGGAAAAACAGACUCUCAAGGAAACGGAAGUGGGUUUGCCUUUGGAAUUUCAUGCUGAAUGAGUGAGCGAGUGAGCGCUUCACAUCUGGCUCGAAGAUGAGGUUGUCAAUGAUGCAAGAGCCCUGGAAGCUGAAAUAUUCAAAGAAAAAGAGGAACACGGCAGAGCUGGUGGCUCUGGGCUCCAGCUGGCAGGCAGCAGGAUUGCAUCAUGAAGCCAUAUGCCCUCCCACAGCCCCGACCUUGCCCAUGCUUCCUUUGCCUAGCAAUGCCUUAGAUUAUCCUUUCCAGUUUCAAGGCACCCAUCCCUGUACAGGCUACAGCUUCUUCGGACAACUCCUGCUUAUGUGACGACUCCCUCAGCUAAAAUGUCCAGAGAAUUUUACAGCUUAGUGCUCACCACUUAUCUUGCUCGGCAGGCUGCCUUCACACCAAAGGGACGUGCUCUCAAGAUGUAGAGGGAGGAAAUCCUGAGACAACUAAACAAGCAAAGCAGGAAAGCAGCACAUACCAACAUCACUUACGCCCAGUGCGUUUCCCCUUAUCACAUCAUUCAAGUGCAAGGCAGAGGAAGUGGGAGCUAAAGAGAAUGGAGGGCUAAUGUUGGCUGCACUGAGAUCAAACUGGAGUAGGGAACAUCGGUUCCAUCAAGGGGAAGCUGAAGCAUGCGGCCUCCCUAAAGAACACAGAGUGUAUUUGGAUUUAUGGAAUGUUUGCUCUGUAUCCCUGGGCUGUUUCUAUGGUGACUAGAUUGGGAAGAUGAUGCUCCUAGUGCCUUU